AGCUCACACAGAUCUCUCCCUCCAGAUUUCCUGAUCCUAGGCCAGGUCAGUAUUCAGUACACCCCAGUCAUUAUGCUGGAAGCUUAAAGGAGUGAGCAACUAAUGCAAGUUCCAGCUGGUUCUCACAGCUUAGCCUCACUGGUUCCAAUGUAUCUUUGCUUCCCCCAGUUUGUGUCUAUCUUCUCUUCCCAAGUGCUUGCCAUGUGAACUUUGGCUUCAGAACCAGAUGCACAAACAAAAGUAUGUAACCAACUAUCAGUCCUAUGUAAUAACCUGAAGUUACUGGAGUUUUGUUUUUCUCCUUUGGACACAAUGUCCUGGAGAUGUCUCCCAGCAUUUACUACUACCUGGGACCUCCUGUCUUUACAAACUCCUUUAAGAAGAUGUUUCCUCAUGCCUCGCUUACUUAGACGGUCAGCUCAAAUACUGGCAGAUUGAAACAUUUCCAUUGACUACAGGAUCAAAAGUCAACAAGAGAGCUAGAUAGCCAAGGCCAUGCUGAAGUCUCAUUCUUUCUCCUGUGAAAAUGUCAAUGUCCCCUAGAGGUAUAG
rnacentral:lncRNA from 1 species